UAGCUCAGUCGUUAGAGCAUGGGACUCUUAAUCCCAGGGUUGUAGGUUCAAGCCCCAU
rnacentral:tRNA from 1 species